rnacentral:lncRNA from 1 species
AUACAUUAGUAAUUGUUAUUAACCGUACGGGUGACUAACGAAUAGUGUUGUAAAAGAGGGACGAAUUAAUGACCUUAUCAUCGUCGUUUCUCUUAUUUUACAGUGAUCAUCAACUUAGGUUAAACAUGAAUAAACAAGAUAACAUGC